rnacentral:rRNA from 1 species
CUACGGGGGGCUGCAGUAGGGAAUAUUGCGCAAUGGGGGAAACCCUGACGCAGCAACGCCACGUGUGGGAUGACGCAUUUAGGUGUGUAAACCACUGUCGACAGGGAAUAAACGUCUCUUAUGAGAAAUUGAAGGUACCUGUAAUAGGAAGCACCGGCUAACUUCGUGCCAGCAGCCGCGGUAAUACGAGGGGUGCAAGCGUUGUUCGGAAUUACUGGGCGUAAAGGGAGCGUAGGCGGACGAUUAAGUCAGUUGUUUAAUUUCAGGGCCCAACCCUGAAUCCGCAAUUGAAACUGGUUGUCUUGAAUGUAUCAGAGGCAGACAGAAUUUCUGGUGUAGCGGUGGAAUGCGUAGAUAUCAGGAGGAAUACCUGUGGUGAAGACGGUCUGCUGGGAUAACAUUGACGCUGAGGCUCGAAAGUGUGGGUAGCGAACAGGAUUAGAUACCCGUGUAGUC